rfam:Thermomicrobium roseum DSM 5159, complete genome.
CGCGGGGUGGAGCAGCGGCAGCUCGCUGGGCUCAUAACCCAGAGGUCGUGGGUUCGAAUCCCACCCCCGCUA